rnacentral:lncRNA from 1 species
CUGGAUUCUCAUAGGAGCACAAACCCUACUGUGAACUGCCCAUGCGAGGGGUCUAGGUUGUGAGCUCCUUAUGAGAAUGUAACACCUGAUGAUCUGUCACUGUCUCCCAUCACCCCAGAUGGGACUGUCUAGUUGCUGGAAACCAAGCUCCACACUCCCACUGAUUCUACAAUACGAGUUUGGCCAGUGCACGGCAGCUCACACCUGUAAUCCUGGCACUUUAGGAGGCUGAACUGAGAGGAUCACUUGUGUCAAGGUGUUCCAGACCAGCCUGGGCAACAUAUCAAGACCUCGUCUCUGCAAAACGUUUUAAACUUAGCUGGGCAUGGUGGCACACACUUGUAGUCUUAUCUACUCUAGAGGCUAAGGCUGGAGGAACAGUUGAGCCCAGGAGGUUGAGGCUGCAAUGAGCUAUGAUACCCCAAUAUGAUUGCCCCACUGGGUGACAGAAUGAAAGUCUGUCUAAAAAAUUUUUUAGAAAUAAGAAUAAUACAGGUUUAUAGAUCAAAAUGUGGCUCCUGAAAUAUUAGUUUUGAGCUUCAAUUCAAUAAGAAAGCCAUCGUAUUAGUCCAUUCUCGCACUGCUAUAAAGAAGUACCUGAGACUGUGUAAUUUAUAAAGGAAAGAGGUUUGAUUGACUCACAGUUCCAAAAGGCUGGGGAGGCCUCAGGAAACUUACAAUCAUGGUGGAAGGUGAAGGGAAAGCAAGGACCUUCUUCACAUGGCAGCAGGAGAGAGAAGUCCAAGCUGAGGAGAUGCCAUAUGCUUAUAAAACCAUCAGAUCUCGUGAAGAGUCACUCCUGUCAUAAGAACAGCAUGGGGAAAACCACCCCCAUGAUCCAAUCACCUCCUACCAGACCCCGCCCUCCACACAUGGGGAUUAUGGGAAUUACAAUUCUAGAUGAGAUUUGGGUGGGGACACGGGGCCAAACUAUAUCAGCCAUACAGGAAGGGAGCGUGAGAAGCUGAAGGUUAUGGUUCUUAUGCUUUCUAAGUGUCUUCCAGGCCCUGAGCCCACUGUCUCACCUCCACAGUGCAGAUAUGCCUUAAACACAAUUAAAACUGAAACCAACAUUAAACAGAACUAAAUGUAAGAAAUUAACAGAAAUUAAUUACCACAUAUCAGAGAGACAAUCGCCUGUUUAAAGCUUUAAUAUGAAAGAUACUUCUUUGAACAUAAAAACCCCAACUCUCACAUAUUUUCAAGGUAGUUUUGUACAUUAGAAAAUAAUUCUCUGUAUUCCGUGAUGAACGAUUCAUCGUGGAAUGCCUUUUAAAAAACAAAGACAUUGAAAAUGUGGUUGCAGGCUGGGCACAGUGGCUCACGCCCAUAAUCCCAGCACUUUGGGAGACUGAGGCAGGCAGAUCACUUGAGCCCAGGAGUUCGAGAUCAGCCCGGGCAACAUGGCAAAACCCUGUCUCUACAAAGAAAAUUUUAAAAAAAUUAGCUGGUCAUGUUGGUACAUACCUGUAGUCCUAGCUACUUGGUGAGGCUGAGGCCAGAGGAUUGCUUGAGUCUGGGAGGGAGGCAGAGGUUGCAGUGAACUAUGAUCAUGCCACUACACUCCUCACCCUGGUCAACAGAGUGAGACCCUGUCUCCAAAAACAAAAAAGAAAAACUGUGAUUGCAGACACAAACACUUAAACAUAACUCUGCAAACUUUUCUGUUACCUUUGAAAACCUAUUUCCGUACAGGGAGGAAAAAAACCCUUAGCCUUGUUUUGAUAGGGAAAUUUGAUUACUCAUUUGAAUAGACUGAGUAUGAUAGUUAUUUGACUUUUGAAAAUGUUUCAGGUCUCCUUCCUCUCUGCUAUCUUAGGAUCUGAGCUUCCUGAAAUUUUGAACCAAGGGCCAUGAAAUACAUUUUCUUAGCCUUUGCUAUAACAUUCAGCAUUAAACAGAAGACAAGAAGUGUGGCCGGACAUGGUGACUCAUGCCUGUAAUCCCAGCACUUUGGGAAGCCAAGGAAGGCAGAUCACUAUAGGCCAGGAGUUCCAGACCAGUCUGGGCAACAUGAGGAAAUACUGUCUCUACCAAAAGUGCAAAACAUUAGCCAGGUGUGGUGGUGCGCGCCUGUGGUCCCAGCUACUCAGGAGGCUGAGGUGGGAUGAUUGCUUGAGCCUGGGAGGUGGAGGCUACAGUGAGCCAAGAUUGAUCGCCACUGCACUCCAGCCUGGGUGACAAAGUGAGACUCCAUCUCAAGAAAAAGAAAAAAAAGAAGAAGAAGAAGGCAUGAGGGCUGACUGAAUAAGAGUUAUUGAUUUAGUGCUUCAAGAUCUCACAAGAUUCAGUCAUGAAAAUGAGAUCUGGCCUCGGGGGAGAAAACCGCUUCCUGCCCAGCACAGAGCCCAAGCAGGGACAGUGGCCGGAUCUGUUCAGUGCUCAUUAACGAGGUAACUUUGCCAUUUAUCAAAGCGCAGGACCAGUCUGGUGAGCCAAAACCAGAAUAUGAAAAUAGAUCUUUCUUCUGAAGUUCAGAUGUGAAAUAUUUUCCGUGUUUCCAAGAAUUUUUUUUUAAAGCCUCAACUUUUGUCCAUACCAUAAUUUUCUGGGAGUUUUCCUAAUUAAAAAUGCUGAUGGGUAUGGACUGUGUCCUUUCAUAGAGAAGGCAUUUAAGGGCAUCUACAACUCACAAGUUCAAUAAGAUCACCCAGCAUUAACAUGCCUUUGAUGAGGCAUUCGUUUAUUAUCUCUAGUUAUUUCUCAAUAAUCACACAACUGGCCUAAUGACACAAUGGGCUUUAUAAUAAUGAAUUUUCAAAAGAAAGCAAACAUUUCCUUUGAGGCUAUAUUCUCCAAUGAAUUUGGCAUGCCCUGGUUUGAAGACUUUCAUCUCCAAAUAGGCUGGGGUUUCUCUUUUAUCUAGCGGCCUGCCUUGCUGAAACCUUCUCCGACACACAAAGGAAAGUCUAAAAAAUGUCCAGUUCUAUCCAAGACUUCAAAAGUGCUCAGGGAGCCAGAUAAAAUCUGUCCCAGGAUUUUUUCUCUCCCCGAUAAACGUUUAGGAAAACCUUACUUCUGAGUCCAGGGCUACUUGGCUAGGACUGAAGAUGCUAAUGAAAAAGUGUUUCACUUAGGAACCUUGAGUGAGUCAAAAUUAGAGAAGGCUUGUUACCCAAAGGCCUGUGGUUUUAUUAUACAAGGCCCAUAUACUUCACCAAGGCUGGUAAAGUCAUUCAAACAACGACGUGUCAAAAGACAGAAUAUAGGCAAAAGUUCUGACCCAUCUGGUUGGUUGUGGCAUCUCCUAACUCAAACACCUUUGAAAAAACCCUCGUAAAAGGUGAAUAUAAGGCCUGUUAGGCCUCAGAACACAGUGGUUGUAGGACAGAAACCUUCGAUCACAGGACACUAGAAACACUCUCCAGAUCAAAGUCAUUCUAGUAAUUGUCAUUGUGCAUUAUGGAAAACCGAGUCCUGGGUUUGUGCCUUCCUUCCCCAGAACAUGAUUAUUACUGAAACAGAUGCAUGUUGGAUUUCCAGAUUGUGAAGCUAAGCUGUAAGGGUCUGCCUUGUCAUGACCUUACUGGCUGUGCAUGGUCUAAACUCAACUACCUCCCAGUCUCCAGACUGAACAUCUUAAUGUAUUAACUUAGAAUAUACUUCUUGUAAGCUUUCUUCCAACCCGGGUUCUACUCAUUUUGUUGGUCAAACAAACAAACAAAAAAUUCAAUCUAAAAUCCACAGUUACACAAGGAUAUGAAUGUAAGAAAGGCUGAACGUGAAUGAUUCCAGGAUAGAAGAAGUUAAUAAACCAAUUAACAAAAUCUGUGAGCAUUGCUAACCUUCAAAAGAGGAGGAUAAGGUUACAUUUUGUUUAAAGACAAAAAAAAAAUCCUAAUUAGUAUCAUGCUCUAAAAUAUACCUUUUAUUGAAAGCUAAGUUUUUAUUUUUAAUUAGUUCAAUAAAUGGCAAUGGGCAGCCUUCUCCUACUUAGCGAACUCACCAGGCUGUAGAAUUGUUGUAGGAAAUUAGCUCCAUUUCAGUCUUUGAUCCUUGAAGACCAAAGUGUGCAAUUUUGCUGGAGUAGUGUCGGUCGUUUGUAAGACCUUAGUGAAAGAAAAGUCUUAGUGUCCCUUAAAACUCCUUUAAAUAUGUAAAAAUGCACAAUGUCAGGGACCAGGACCCCGUCUACAUUAAACAAAGAACAAAGUCGAUCACUUCCCAUAAAGGGAAGGAUUUACAUUAAACUUUCCCCAGCAGAAAAAGAAAACAGAAAUUAAAAAGAUCAGACUGUGUUUUCUAGGGAAAUCUCUGCAUCUCCUUUUGUGCCUAAUAAUCUUCAUUUACUGGGACACCUAAGCUUCUUUGUGACUUUUCAUCUAAAUAUAUAUCCAAAGUUGUCUUCACUGCCUCAUUAAAGUAAAAUAAUAUCACAAGGUAACAAGUGUUUACGUUAAAAAAAGUUUGUUUGUUUUUUAAUCCCAGGCAAUGACUUUUUUUCAAGCUAUGCAAUAAUAAGACACUCCCUGAAAGUUUGUUUUAUUUGCCUCUGGGCUUGUCGUUUUCAUUUUCCUGCCCUUUGCUUACUUUUCUGUUGCUACUAAAAGGUAAACUUAUUCAGGCAUCUGUGUGUGUGUGUGUGUGUGCACGCACGCGUGUGUUUAUAUUAUUUAUUGAUAUACAUCUUAAAUAACGAACUUUGCAAAAUAAAAUCACAUUAUGAUGAGUUUUUUUAAUCCUAUUCUUAAUUCUCUAAUGGAGUUUCCUUGCUUUGCUUAAAAUAAGUGGACCACUGUUUGCCUUUGAAUUUC